AGAGUUUGAUCAUGGCUCAGGAUGAACGCUGGCGGCGUGCUUAACACAUGCAAGUUGAACGGUGAAGCCCAGCUUGCUGGGUGGAUCAGUGGCGAACGGGUGAGUAACACGUGAGCAAUCUGCCCCUGACUCUGGGAUAAGCGCUGGAAACGGCGUCUAAUACUGGAUAUGAACCGUGGAGGCAUCUUCAACGGUUGGAAAGAUUUUUUGGUCAGGGAUGAGCUCGCGGCCUAUCAGCUUGUUGGUGAGGGUAAUGGCUCACCAAGGCGUCGACGGGUAGCCGGCCUGAGAGGGUGACCGGCCACACUGGGACUGAGACACGGCCCAGGCUCCUACGGGAGGCAGCAGUGGGGAAUAUUGCACAAUGGGCGCAAGCCUGAUGCAGCAACGCCGCGUGAGGGAUGACGGCCUUCGGGUUGUAAACCUCUUUUAGCAGGGAAGAAGCGAAAGUGACGGUACCUGCAGAAAAGCGCCGGCUAACUACGUG
rnacentral:rRNA from 1 species